rnacentral:rRNA from 2 species
AAUAUGACUCUCGGCAACGGAUAUCUCGGCUCUCGCAUCGAUGAAGAACGUAGCGAAAUGCGAUACGUGGUGUGAAUUGCAGAAUCCCGUGAACCAUCGAGUCUUUGAACGCAAGUUGCGCCCGAGGGAUCCUCCCAAGGGCACGCCUGCCUCAUGGGCGUUAGAA